rnacentral:rRNA from 1 species
AUUGAACGCUAGCGGGAGGCUUUACACAUGCAAGUCGAACGAGUGGCGGACGGGUGAGUAAUAUAUCGGAACGUGCCCAGUAGCGGGGGAUAACUGCUCGAAAGAGUGGCUAAUACCGCAUCCUAUUGGAGAGGCCGAUGACGGAUUAGCUCGUUGGUGUGGAAAAGGCCAACCAAGGCGACGAUACGUAGCUGGUUUGAGAGGACGACCAUCCACACUGUGGCUGAGACACGGCCCAGACUCCUACGGGAGGCAGCAGUGGGGAAUUUUGGCAAAUGGGGGAAACCCUGAUCCAGCCAUCCCGCGUGUAUGAGAAGGCCUGCGGGUUGUAAAGUACUUUUGGCAGAGAAGCGGUAUCUGCAGAAUAAGCACCGGCUAACUACGUGCCAGCAGCCGCGGUAAUAC